UAGACAAACAGAACGUUUCAGUCAAGCUGGG
rnacentral:piRNA from 1 species